AUACGUAGGUAGCAAGCGUUGUCCGGGAUUACUGGGUGUAAAGGGAGCGUAGGCGGGAAGGCAAGUUGAAUGUUUAAACUAUGGGCUCAACCCAUAGUCGCGUUCAAAACUGCUUUUCUUGAGUGAAGUAGAGGCAGGCGGAAUUCCUAGUGUAGCGGUGAAAUGCGUAGAUAUUAGGAGGAACACCAGUGGCGAAGGCGGCCUGCUGGGCUUUAACUGACGCUGAGGCUCGAAAGCGUGGGUAGC
rnacentral:rRNA from 1 species